GGGCCGAUGAAGGGCUGAGCCGAGACCCCCUCCCCAACUGUGCUCUGCUCCUGAAG
rfam:Ornithorhynchus anatinus Cont4527.8, whole genome shotgun sequence.